rnacentral:rRNA from 1 species
AUGUUUGGUUCAGCCUUGACCUAUGUCAGUUUGAGAUUGCUUGGAGAGGGAACAGAUAGUGGAUAUGGAGCUAUGGAGAAAGGUCGAAAUUGGAUUCUAGACCAUGGAGGAGCAACGUUUGUAACAUCAUGGGGAAAAUUUUGGCUCUCGGUACUUGGUGUAUUUGAUUGGUCUGGUAACAACCCAGUGCCACCAGAAGCAUGGUUGCUACCAUAUUGCCUGCCAUUUCAUCCAGGGCGAAUGUGGUGUCACUGUCGAAUGGUGUAUUUGCCAAUGUGUUACAUUUAUGGAAAGAGAUUUGUCGGACAAGUUACGCCACUUGUUUUGGAAUUGAGAAAGGAACUUUACAAAGGCCCCUAUAAUGAGAUUGAUUGGGACAAGACUCGCAAUCAAUGUGCUAAGUUUACAACUUUCUGGUGCCGAAACAGCAGACGCAGGAAUCAGCGGGUAAAAGUGCACAUAGAGUGGGCAUAUCAGCACAUCUCCAAAUGA